UAUCAGGGAACAACUGACCUUUGGGAGC
rnacentral:piRNA from 1 species